GUCCCUGUAGCGCCAUGGAUAGUGUGUGUGUGUGUGUGCUUUGGACUUCUAAUCCAAAGGUCGUGGGUUUGAAUCCCACCUGGGAUG